GCAAGUGGAACGCACAGAUGAUACGUAGCUUGCUACAAUUAUCUGUGAGUCGCGAACGGGUGAGUAACGCGUAGGUAACCUAGCUUAUAGCGGGGGAUAACUAUUGGAAACGAUAGCUAAUACCGCAUAAAAGUGGUUAACCCAUGUUAACCAUUUAAAAGGAGCAACAGCUCCACUAUGAGAUGGACCUGCGUUGUAUUAGCUAGUUGGUAGGGUAAAGGCCUACCAAGGCGACGAUACAUAGCCGACCUGAGAGGGUGAACGGCCACACUGGGACUGAGACACGGCCCAGACUCCUACGGGAGGCAGCAGUAGGGAAUCUUCGGCAAUGGGGGGAACCCUGACCGAGCAACGCCGCGUGAGUGAAGAAGGUUUUCGGAUCGUAAAGCUCUGUUGUUAGAGAAGAACAGUGAUGGGAGUGGAAAGUCCAUCAUGUGACGGUAACUAACCAGAAAGGGACGGCUAACUACGUGCCAGCAGCCGCGGUAAA
rnacentral:rRNA from 1 species